UACGGGAGGGUGCGAGCGUUGUCCGGAAUCACAUGGGCGUAAAGGGCGCGUAGGCGGCAGGUCAAGCGUGUGGUGAAAGCCCGGGGGCUCCAACCCCGGGUCGGCCAUGCGGACUGGCGUGCUUGAGCGACUGGUAGGGGCGGGUGGAAGUUCCGGGUGUAGCGGUGGAAUGCGUAGAGAUCCGGAAGAACACCGGUGGCGAAGG
rnacentral:rRNA from 1 species